GUGGAGGCUCUAUUUAAGCCUGUGUGGUAGAUUAGUUCGGUUUUCUGUCUUCUCCUGUUGGGUGUGGAGUUGUGUCUGGGCUGGCGUGCUGCACGCUUGUUGCCGCUGCCAGAGGUUGUCAGUUUGUGAGCGGAGUGAGCCGGCUUUGUUUCGGCCGUGGAUCCUCCCCGUGUGGAUAGAUGAGCACCUGGGCUGCUGGCGUUGGGUGCUUCGUUGGUUGCUGUGUGGUUGUGCGGAUUGCGUGCCCCCCUGCUGGGGUGUGAGGGUGGUGUGUCCUGUAAAGUGCGGGACCGAACUACAACCGUGUGCAUGCUGCUGUCGAGGCUGCCAUGUGCCACAGCUAUGAGGGUUAACACUCCCCGGCGCGUUUCUCCUCCCACUCUUGCUGUUCUGGAUACAGUAUAGAAAUUGGCUGUAUACUGAUACAAAAGGUGUCUGGAUAUGAGGCUGUCCUGGAUGCACAGAACUGGUUUGGAUCGAUAUGUGUAAGUGUCUGACCAUCCAGACAUUGGCUUUGUAAAUAUUGGUAUUAACUAGGUACAUAUUGCAUGUGGGUUUUUGUUCUUUUCCUUGUGAUUGAUUUUAAUUCUUUAAUUAAGCAUGCGGGUUUGUUUUGAAUUGGAAUUGUCUGUAUUUUUUUUGUUUUCUAAUACCCAUUAUAUAGCCUACCUUUAACAGAGCGGUGUUGCUAUUUCAAUAUGACAUGAUAAAUAAAAUUGUAUAUUUUUAUAAUUC